GAUGAACGCUGGCGGCGUGCUUAAUACAUGCAAGUCGAGCGAACGGACGAGAAGCUUGCUUCUCUGAUGUUAGCGGCGGACGGGUGAGUAACACGUGGAUAACCUACCUAUAAGACUGGGAUAACUUCGGGAAACCGUAGCUAAUACCGGAUAAUAUUUUGAACCGCAUGGUUCAAAAGUGAAAGACGGCCUUUCUGUCACUUAUAGAUGGAUCCGCGCUGCAUUAGCUAGUUGGUAAGGUAACGGCUUACCAAGGCAACGAUGCAUAGCCGACCUGAGAGGGGGAUCGGCCACACUGGAACGGAGACACGGUCCAGACUCCUACGGGAGGCAGCAGUAGGGAAUCUGCCGCAAAGGGCGAAAGCCUGACGGAGCAACGCCGCGUGAGUGAUGAAGGUCUUCGGAUCGUAAAACUCUGUUAUUAGGGAAGAACAUAUGUGUAAGUAACUGUGCACAGCUUGACGGUACCGAAUCAGAAAGCCACGGCUAACUACGUG
rnacentral:rRNA from 1 species